rnacentral:lncRNA from 1 species
GGCCUUUCCCGUUGAUGAAUAUAGCUCCCUGAGUGGAGAUUAGCAGAGACAGCUAUCAUUGGGCCUGUAGGUGAAUGGAUUACCCUUGAUUUAAUAAGAAGUAACAGGCCAUUAUUUCUAGAGCUACAGGAUGGAAAAUGACAUCUGGAUUCUCGAUGUAAACAUUAUUCAUCAUGUCGGAUGCUUUGCUAUUCUUGCCAGUACACUAUGCUCUGACAAGGCUGUUAUUUCUAGGGCAAGUGAGUGGUGAGUGCAGCAUGGAUUUAUUUGCACAUACCCAUUGAGUUUAUAAAGUCUUGUGUUCCUUGCUACAGCUGUGUAUUGGCCCAGUCAGUUGGCCUAAUCAAGAGCUACCCCUUGCUACUUAGGGCUGAUGGGCCAGAUCCUCUGCUGGUGUCAGAUAGCCCCAAACCAUUGACGACAGUGCAGCUGUGCAGAACUGCAGGCUUAGAGGUUUCACAUCAUAUACAGGCUUCCUGCAAACAGGCAGAAGAGGCAGUCACUGCAAAUUGCCAUCAAGAAGUACUGGGAUCAAAGCAAAACAAGAUGAGAAGAGAGAAGCUGCCAAGGAAAAGCCCGGUGUCACAGGUGUGAUGAGCAAGGACUAAAUGACUUUUGCUAAUGCAUACAAGAGGUUUUCAGGUUCGUGUCACAAAAUCCACCUCUGCUUUUUGGAAGGAAGAAGAGUUGGAAGUACUGCCUGUUUGCAACUCAGAAACAAAACCCAGAAAAGCUGUCUCCCUGUAAAAUCACAGAAGAGCUGUUUCCCAGAACUGGGCUGUCGCCGUCCCUUUAAUGAAGCAGUCACCAAAGGUCAGCACUUCGGAGAUCCUGAUUCUUCACUUCUGAACCAUUUGUUCAAGCUGUAAGUCACGCUUUCCCCAAUGCCUGCCCACUAAAAAAAAACCCACCCUCCAGUCUGCAUUUGAAGGUUUCCUAUAAGCUUCACUGAGAUGGCCAGACAGGAGGUAAUGGGCUGAGACUGGAGCACCGUGGAUGCCUGCUUUCACGGCGCAGCGGGGAGGCAGCAGACGGAGCUGCAAUGCCGCUGUCUGGCACUAAUUCAAAUCGCUUGGGUCCACUGAGGCAUUUAACUCCAGCACCUGGGUUAGGACUACCAGAGGGAUCUGGUCUCUCCGCUGGUACUCGAGGCAGCCCCGGAGAAGGCGCUUCUCUCUGAAUAAGAUAAUGAGUUGCAAUCAACAGCAAGCUCAUGGGACCAGGGAGAGAACUCUGGAUCCUCCAGCAAAGUGAGAACAUUUUGGUCAUGGAACCAGAUCAGAGAGUGAAAAAAAGCUGCUACUGAACCCAGGUUCAAAUCCAGAUCAUUUUGACACUGCCUUAAAAAUUGGAGACAGAUAGGAGUCGCUGGCAUUGCCAAGGGGCAGGAGUCUGGGUGUAUGCUCCCUUUGCUGGGCAGUUGGGAGCAGGAGAAAAUUUCUGCCUGAGAUCUGACAGUGACAUGCACAAAGUGCCUGAGCAAAAUGCCUCUUCUGAGCAAGACCCAGUUCCACAUUGUUAACCUCUUGCUAUUGUUGAACAGUUGGAAGCUGAAUGUUGCAAAUUAAAAUUACUUCCUUGACUAGCCAGAACAAUCCUUCCUCUCUUCAAGGCUCUGAUCCUUUCCACUGGAGAGGCAGUGAGCACUUUUUAAUAAGGCUGGGAAUGUGACACAGUAUGGUCCCAUAGCUAAGCAAAUUGCUGUGGAUACUCUGAAGACCCUGUUUCCCACACACAUGCUCUUGCAAUGCUGCCAUCUUUAUGCAAGGUUCAGUUUUGCAACCACUCACCCCAUGCAUUUAUUUUGCUCAGCUGAAUGAAUGGAAACACUCAACAGUUACAAGAAGCUCUGAUAUAUUGCUUUGUGCUGGUUCUAUAGAGGGGUGAGUAUAUCCCAGGGAAAGCAUCCAUUUUUCUGCUCAUUGCUGGGCUUUCUCUACCUUAAAAGGCCAUCAUGGCAUUUGUGUCUCCCUUACUCAUAAGUGCAGCUUGCAAGCUGGAAGGCUUCUGUUCAGUUUGGACCUCAUCUAGAGCUGGACCGCAUCCAUUACAGACCUGCAGCGAGGCAGUGGUACAGAUUGUUCUCACUGCAAAUGGAAAUGGCUGUGAAGAUGGCUGCCAAGCCUGGUACUGAAAUUAAAAGACUGUUGAAAACAAAACAGCAGUCUUACACCAAAAGGGGUGUUGUAUGCAUAGGAGAUGAGUCUGAGCCCAGCCCCAUCAGCAAGGAACAGCUGGAAUAUGAGAUAGGAGCAGGAUACCAUACCUUGCUUUGGCUUUGCCAGGACUAGACAUCAUCAAUGCACCAGUAAGCCACAAACCUUUCAGGGUCAGAGGGAUCUUCCCAAUAGCAGGAAUCAGAACAAAGUUAUGCAAAAGGAAUAGGGAGUCUAGGAGAAUGAACAGAGAGGAAAUGUGGACUGAUCUGCAUUUCUCCAUGGUUCCCUUCGUGCUGGCUGACCUGCACAGUUUCUUCCCAUUGCACCUCAGAAAUACCUUGCACACACCAGGUCUAUGGAAGAACCUGUGACGGCCUGAUCUUGCUCCACUGAUGGAGCACAGCUAGAGUUUCCAAGGAACUGGAGUCCUGCUGGAAGGAUCUGGAAAUGGGAGGCUUGGGGUCUAUCAUCAGUUUAUAGCCUUUUCUGUGUUCUUAGCCAAAACUCAUCUCUGUGCUGCCCUUUUUCUUUCUACCUUUCAUCUAUCCUGUCUUGUUUCCUCAUCAGUUCCCAACUGUCCCUUGCCUUUCAUUUCUUUGGCUGGAUGUCAGCCAUGGCUGAGGCCUGGACAACCUUGGGUAUUUGACCUUGAGGGCUGCUCUCUACUAAGAGGGUUUCCCUUAUUACACAGCUUCUGUGUGCAAUAUAUGACCCACGUUAUAAAGUUGUAGGCUUCUCUCCAAACAAGUGGCUAUGUGAAGACAGCAAGGCUGAUGUUACCAUUUGGUUUAGGGUCAGCACAUCACUCCCAGGUUGCUGUACCUCUUGAAGAUAAAAGAUUACUUCUGAAAGAUCAUAAAGUUCCCCUUUCAGCUCAAGUCUUGGCCAUGCCUGCAAACCAAUGGUCAUGCCACAGAGAGCCUCAUGUGGCAAAAACUACAGACUGCUGUUCCCUUCCAAGUCAUCUUCAUUCUCCAUUCCUUUUGCUGUAGCAAAGAAGUCAGGAUCUGACCACAUGAGCAAACAUUCUCUUAAUGAUGCUGAGCGCUGAUACCAUGGUAUGCAGGAACUGUACUGCACAGCUACACAAGCAACGGAUAAAUAAAUAAAUAAGUGUAUACUGAUGCCUGUGCA